UGUAGUCCUUAGUGCCGAACUAUGUAAAUCUUUGUGUUGUUCAUCUUCUGCUUAUUCUUGAUCUUACAUUUUAUGUAUGUGCUUAUGUAAGAAAUUCCACUUGGUAUCAGAGCAAGAAAUUCCACUUUCCUCAAUCUACAUUAGGGGUCUGCCAUUGAAUGCCACACAUGCCCUAGUCGAGGACGAGUUUAAAAGGUUUGGACCUAUUAAAAGUGAUGGCAUUCAAGUUAGGUGCAACAGAAACCAGGGAUUUAGUUUUUGUGGAAUUUGAGGUGGCAAGUGCAGUGCAAAAAGCAAUUGAGGCUUAACCUAUUAUAUAUGAUUGGUGAACGGCGAGCAUAUGUUGAGGAAAAGAGGUCUACCAGUUCUCGAGGCAAGUUAGAUUUAUGUUAGAACUUAUUAAUAGGGAACUAUUCUCCAAAAUGUAUGUCUAAGUAUAUUGCACUUAAAAUGAUGAAUGGAAAAUAAUGGAUAUAUUGGUGCAUAGAAUAGCAAAAAACAAAGCACAUGCGGGGCUGCAGAUGUCCUUUACAAAGUAAGACGAGGGGAAUACAUUUUCUAAUUUGCUACUUGUUGAACCAGG